rnacentral:rRNA from 1 species
UACGUAGGGUCCGAGCGUUGUCCGGAAUUACUGGGCGUAAAGAGCUCGUAGGUGGUUUGUCGCGUUGUUCGUGAAAACUCACAGCUUAACUGUGGGCGUGCGGGCGAUACGGGCAGACUGGAGUACUGCAGGGGAGACUGGAAUUCCUGGUGUGGCGGUGGAAUGCGCAGAUAUCAGGAGGAACACCGGUGGCGAAGGCGGAUCUCUGGGCCAUUACUGACGCUGAGGAGCGAAAGCGUGGGGAGCGAACAGG